rnacentral:rRNA from 1 species
UACGUAGGUGGCAAGCGUUAUCCGGAUUUAUUGGGUGUAAAGGGCGUGUAGGCGGGAAUGCAAGUCAGAUGUGAAAACUAUGGGCUCAACCCAUAGCCUGCAUUUGAAACUGUAUUUCUUGAGUGCUGGAGAGGCAAUCGGAAUUCCGUGUGUAGCGGUGAAAUGCGUAGAUAUACGGAGGAACACCAGUGGCGAAGGCGGGUUGCUGGACAGUAACUGACGCUGAGGCGCGAAAGCGUGGGGAGCAAACAGG